rnacentral:lncRNA from 1 species
CAAACAUUGAUGAUUAACUACAAUUUACUCUUCACUGGUGGCACCUGGACUAAUAAUGGAGACUCUGUUCUCAACAGCUGCAUAGUCUGGGAUAGCCAGGCAAGCAAAUGAUGAAAAUGAAAUGUGCUGAGUGGAAAGUAUUAGUGAGGGAAGACUUGCUAAGGGAACUGUGCUUUAAAGCAAGUAGUAAGACUUGUUCAGGAAUUGAGGAAGUCAAGAGAAGAGAGGGAAAUGGCAUUCAUAGGUAGAGAGGGAGCAGCUUGUGCAAAGGCAUGAAUUGUGAAAUGAAAAUACAUACUUUGUUUUUACCGGCAAUAAAGUGGGAUCAGAAUUACAG